AUUUGGAAGAUGUGUAUGUCUGAAAAAACCUGCUAUAUUUCUCAUUCCAACAGGGCUGUCUAAGCCAUCUGAUAUUAUAAUCAGAGACGAGGUCUGAGCUGCUGAACAAAGAAUAUACCCUCGUCUUUCAUCUGACGUCAUUUGUAGCAUGAAUCUAUUUUAUCCUUAGCAAGGCUAAUUUUUGUGUUUUAGACUCAGAGGAAAUAACUAACAUGGAUGGGAGUUCUUUUUCCAUUUUCCUGAGGACUUCUUUUCUUCUGCAGCCAAACUUUUUCUUCCUGGAGAGGCACAAUCAACAGUGAGUGUGAUUCUACCUCCGCAGUUUCACCAAUUGCUGGUGACUCUAGCUAAGCAGGCACAAUCUCUAGACUCUAGUUACCACUGUGGAAAGGAGAUGGGGAUGCUGAUGUGGAACCUUUUGAAGGUGGGAGUUUACUGAAGUUUCUAGCAAGUUGAGGAAGAAGUCGACAUCUGAAUCAGGGACCAGGAAGAUUGAGAGACUGUAUUAUGUAUUUGGGAUAAGUUUUUGAAAAGCUUUAAGCGGCAAGCCUUUGAGCUCCUUGGUGCUAUUGAAAUGAGAAGAAUGUCUUAGUUUCCAUCUGGUUGCUUGGGAAAGUCGGAAUCUUCAGUCAAAUAUGAUAAAAGGGUUAUUGAAAAAAUAUAUAUAUAUAUAUAUGAUAAUGGGUAUGAUAGAUAAAAGGACCAACUCAGAUUAGUAGCAGGUCUAUUGUCAGAAACCUUUCACUUGGCUUCCACGUGAGCUCAAUGUAGUACUUGUGAGUGGGAAAGGAAGAGAAAGAGAGUUUAGAAAGGAUCAGAGACAAGAGAGAGAGAGUAGAGAGAUUUGAGAAUGGUUUGAAUUCAAAUUUCCUAGUACAUUUUGAAUUAUCAUUACAGAGCUUAUUUAUACCCAUGAAACCGGUGAUUAACAAAGUUAGUUACAAUGACACUCGUAUGUGGUCCCCCUAUAUCUGUUAUAACUGACACCAUGCUUACCUAGUUAUCCCCCAUCUUAUUCCUCCUUCGGUAAGCCUUCACAGGUUUGCUAGUAUGCCUUUAAUACAUUAAUAGAGCUUUACUGGCAGCACCUCCCCCCUUGGACGCAACCUUGUCCCGAGGUUGAGGUAAGGAAAUUGAUGGUGCAAGAAUUCAGAGUCUUCACAAGUGCAGUCUUCAUCAUAUGUCCCAGAUCAAUGAACCAAGGCUUGGUCCACUUUCCCAUCUUGAAGGAUUUGCCUAUGUUGCAGGAUUUUGUCUGGGUGUACAAUCAUUAGUCCAUUGGAUCACAAUCUUGAAGAUCAGUAUAGUGGAGCUGUUUACCUGGAAAGUACUUCUUGAGCUGAGGGACAUGGAUUGCAAGGUGAACGCAGUAGUGGGAGGCAAUUUCAGUCCGUAGUCAACAUUGCCUACUCUUUGUGUGAUGUGAAAGGGGUUUGGGGACAAUUUGGAGCUUCCCUUGUUGUGAAGGUGUAGGAAUCUGACUUCUUGUAGAACCUGUACAUAUUGGCAUCUUCAAAAAAAUUUCCCUAUGAAGUAGAGUUGUAAUCGACUUCCGUAACUGGAAAUCAUUCCUUUUAUAGGACUGAUUUUAGUUUAAUUUCAUAUAAAACUCUUUCUAAUUUUUUACUAUAUAUUUAUCUAUUGUAAAUUAAGUAUCAUAAAUAAAAAUAUAGUAAAUAGAAAAUUUAAUUAUAAAUUUUCAUGAUAUCAAAGCAGGAUAUUUGAACUCUAAAAGAACUUUUUCUUUUUUUCUCUUUUCGAUGACCAGAUACGGAACGGUUAUGGCAAGAACUAGCGACCUCUUUGAAAUCAUAUAUUGGUCUGAUGGAAUUAUUUUCAUCAAACCCGAAUUGGAAACCACUCAAAUUCUGAUAAUUAGUCAUAAGGUAAGUGGAAGCAACUAUAUUUAAUGGUCUCAAUCGGUCAAGAUGUAUCUGCGGAAGAGAGAGAGAAGAAAAAACUCACUGGAGAAGUUACCCAACUGAGCACCGAAGACUCAAAGUUCAAAACUCGGAAGGCCGAGAAUAAUGUGGUCAUGUCAAAUGAUACAGUGAUAAUGUCUUGUUGUAUGGGAUAACAUGAUCAAAGGCCCUAACAGGAGGAAGGCCUCUGGGUUAUUGGAAGAAAUCCUUGUAUUUAGCCGGAAUGCUGGUCUACAAGACGGUUUCAGGGACUAAAAGCUUCAAAAAAUUAGUCCAUCUUACAUUACAAUGUGUUGCUCUUUGUUUAAGCCUUGUUGGUGUAUGGGCUGCCCUGAAAUUUCACAAUGAUAAGGGUAUCGAUAAUUUUUACAGCCUGCAUUCAUGGUUAGGCAUUGCUUGCCUUUUGCUAUUUGGCAUCCAGUGGGCGGCUGGAUUUGUAACAUUUUGGUACCCAGGUGGCUCCAGAAAUAGCCGAUCGAGCUUGCUUCCGUGGCAUGUGUUCCUUGGGGUUUACAUUUAUGCACUUGCUAUUGCUGCUGCUACCACUGGUAUUUUAGAGAAAGCUACAUUCCUUCAAACCAACCAGGUGAUAUCAAGAUACUCAACUGAAGCUUUAAUGGUGAACAGUUUGGGCAUUCUGAUAGUUCUUCUGGGUGGUUUUGUUAUCCUAGCUACAAUUACUCCCCCAAAUGGCAAAGGUGAAGUCAUCAGAAGUACAUCAGAGUAAGCACAUUUUGUUUGGCUUUUUAAUCUUUGGAUUAUAAUCAAUGUAUUUUUUUUCGCCCUAAGAAUUAGGAAAUAUAUUUGUCACAAGAUGGGCGUAUAGGAGAGAAAUUCGAAAACAAAAUUUAGUUCAUUAAGUAGCAGAAACAUUUGGAGGGUGAAAAUGGGUAGCAGAAAAUGACUUUUAACUCGUUAUCAAUGUUGAAUAUUGUAGGUUUUACCAAGAAAGUUGAAGUUAUUAAAUUUGCUUAAUCUAUAUUGAAUAUCAUAGGCAGUCCAGAAUGUUGUGGAA